AGCUUUGCACACUGGCAAUAUUAUAGCCAAUGAGCUUUAUCCAAGGCACAAUUAUUGCUAACUGAAAGCUUUUCCAAAAGAUAUCAAAUAAGAGAAAAGUAAAAUCAUUCUACUUAUCACAUUCAGAUGAAUAUAUGAAUGU
rnacentral:snRNA from 1 species